ACAACCAGGCCGUUCCUAGGAAAGAGGGGGCUUUCCAAUAAGAAUUUCUCCUUACUGGCGCGCAAUUAGGUGACCAAACCUCUCUUUGACAGAACUUUCUAGACAUUGCCAAUAAUGCUAUCUAAUAAUAUUAUUCAAAUAAUAUGAAUUAUUGAUCUGAUAAUGGAAAAUACUGUGCAGUGAUAAUUAUUGAAACAACAAUAAUAUAAAAUAUC
rnacentral:lncRNA from 1 species